UACGAAGGGGGCUAGCGUUGUUCGGAAUUACUGGGCGUAAAGCGCCCGUAGGCGGAUAUUUCAGUCAGGGGUGAAAUCCCAGAGCUCAACUCUGGAACUGCCUUUGAUACUGGGUAUCUUGAGUAUGGAAGAGGUGAGUGGAAUUCCGAGUGUAGAGGUGAAAUUCGUAGAUAUUCGGAGGAACACUAGUGGCGAAGGCGGCUCACUGGUCCAUUACUGACGCUGAGGUGCGAAAGCGUGGGGAGCAAACGGG
rnacentral:rRNA from 1 species